rnacentral:rRNA from 1 species
CCAGACUCCUACGGGAGGCAGCAGUGGGGAAUAUUGCACAAUGGGGGAAACCCUGAUGCAGCGACGCCGCGUGAAGGACGAAGUAUUUCGGUACGUAAACUUCUAUCAGCAGGGAAGAAAAUGACGGUACCUGACCAAGAAGCCCCGGCUAACUACGUGCCAGCAGCCGCGGUAAUACGUAGGGGGCAAGCGUUAUCCGGAUUUACUGGGUGUAAAGGGAGCGUAGACGGCCAUGCAAGUCUGAUGUGAAAACCCGGGGCUCGACCCCGGGACUGCAUUGGAAACUGUGCGGCUGGAGUGUCGGAGAGGCAAGUGGAAUUCCUAGUGUAGCGGUGAAAUGCGUAGAUAUUAGGAGGAACACCAGUGGCGAAGGCGGCUUACUGGACUGUAACUGACGUUGAGGCUCGAAAGCGUGGGGAGCAAACAGGAUUAGAUACCCUAGUA